UGCUUUGUGUAAUUGCCUGCAAGAAGCUUGGACUCGAACCAACCGCCCAAUGGCACUUCCUUCGGUUGCAUAUUAAGUCCAAGUAAAGUUUAGGUUCCCAAGACCUCCCUAGGAACUGACAUCCUGCUUAACAGAAAGAGACAUGUAUGUGGACAACUGACAUGCUGGUUGGCAACUUAGAUCACUUUAUCUAUGGCAAAACAAGAAGAAGCUCGAACCUUGGCCUUCCUAUCAAAUGUGAGGAAAGAGAAGAAAGCAAGGAUUAUCAUCCAUCUCAGAAUAAAUGAAAAUCUCAAUUCCACACUCCAUAAAGGAGACAACUGAUCCUAGCAAGCUGUCCUCUGACUGCCACACUUGAGCUGUGUCACAUGCACAUGCUCAAACACGUGUGCGCGAGCACACGCAUACACACACACACACACACACACACACACAUACACACAAAGUAAGUAAAUGAGUAAAUAUGUAAUAAACAUUUUAAACUUCA